rnacentral:rRNA from 1 species
AAAGAGUUCUAUAACUCCCAAACCCAUGUGAACAUACCUAACGUUGCCUCGGCAGGUCGCACCUACCUUGUAGCACCCUACCCUGUAGGGCCUACCCGGGAGGUGCGGGUAAGCCUGCCGGCGGCCCACCAAACUCUGUUUGAUAUUGAAUUCUGAACCUAUAACUAAAUAAGUUAAAACUUUCAACAACGGAUCUCUUGGUUCUGGCAUCGAUGAAGAACGCAGCGAAAUGCGAUAAGUAAUGUGAAUUGCAGAAUUCAGUGAAUCAUCGAAUCUUUGAACGCAUAUUGCGCCCAUUAGUAUUCUAGUGGGCAGGACCGUUCGAGCGUCAUUUCAACCCUUAAGCCUUCGUUGCUUAGUGUUGGGAGCCUACGGCAACGUAGCUCCUCAAAGUUAGUGGCGGAGUUGGUUCACACUCUAGACGUAGUAAUUUUUUAUCUCGCCUAUUAGUUGGACUAAUCCCCUGCCGUAAAACCCCCAAUCUAUAUCAAGGUUGACCUCGAAUCGGUUCAGACAAACUCGCUAAAUUGAAGCAUCUUAGUCAGCGAAGGAAAAGAAACCAACAGGGAUUGCCCUAGUAACGGCGAGUGAAGCGGCAACAGCUCAAAUUUGAAAUCUGGCCCUCGGGUCCGAGUUGUAAUUUGUAGAGGAUGCUUUUGGCGCG